ACUACCGACGAGUGUCGUAAUGAAGCUGAGGCUUUUCAGCUGCCAUCUUCCCUUAGGAGGCUAUUUGCCACUAUAUUGGUCUUUUGUGAGCCCAGCAAUGUGUGUGGCCUAUGGGACAGACACUUGGAAGCUAUGACAGAAGAUUAUCGACUAACCCAAAUGUGCCCCCAUGCAAUUGAGCAGAUGGCAUUAUUAGAUAUAAAAAAUAUGCUUGAAUAGAUGGGCAAGGACAUAUCAUCAUUUCCUCUCCCAGAAAUUGAUGAGUCAUAUGAUGCCUUAGAUAAUGAGGCCAGGGAGAUCAUAGAGGAGUCCACGAUAGAGGUGGACCCAGAACACCUUGGCUUGUCAUCUUUCCUAAACCCAGAAUAGAGAUAUGCAUACGAGGAGAUACUUGCAACCAUCAGUAGUGACCAAGGAGGUGUGUUCUUUGUUGAUGGACCCAGAGGCACCGGAAAGACUUAUUUGUACAAAGCACUACUCGCAAAGUACGUUCUGAGGGUAAAAUAG
rnacentral:rRNA from 1 species